rnacentral:pre_miRNA from 1 species
ACUCUUCUUAUUUUUCCACAGCUUUCUUGAACUGCAGAUCAUCGUAUCGGAGUAAACUGGAGAUGACGCGGUUCAGUGAAGCUGUGGGAGAUAAUGAGAGGGUC